rfam:Cricetulus griseus cell line CHO-K1, whole genome shotgun sequence.
GAGCGGAGCCCAGGCCAACCUGGAAGCCAGGCAUGGCCGAACACUGCAGGCUCGAUCCUUAUCUCGGUUGUAAGACAGAGUUUCCUGAGCAGCUGGAGGU